GCAAUCAGCAACCUCAAAUUCAACAGCACACUUGAGACCAAUAGCACGCUCAAGAGCAAAAGAUAUCAUGUUGAUAGACAGGUCAAUGCCAACAACAUGAACAUCAUACUUUUCAGCCAUGUAGAAGUUACCUCCUCCAAUGCCACAGCCAACAUCAAGGACUUUUUGGCCACGCUGAAGAUCCAACAUGGCUACAAAUUCUUUUGUAGUUUCAAGUCCUCCUGUGCUAACAAAACCUUGUCCAAAGACUCGUUCAUAGCGUAGUAUGCCACUACACUUGUACUGAACAGUAUCCAAGAAACGCUGAAAUUCCAUGUCAUCCUUAGAAGUAACCUUCUGCCACGUCCAGCAAAUCUGAUUUUGAUUCUUUUUGUUCUUCACAUAAGCUCCAAUGCACUUGCAACCAGCAAGAGAAAGUUCAAAUGAUUUUCCAUCACCAGCAUUUACGUGACAUUCUCUGAAAACCUUUGUAUAAAAGCUAGGGUCUCGAUAGUGGGUUGGGUUGUUCUUUCGCUUGUGGUCUCCUGAUUGAUGGAAGCAUGACUCUCUGAAAAAUAUGUGACCACCGACUUUCAACCAUAUAACCAUUCUCUCAACAAGAGCCUUAACCUCUUCAUCAGAAAGAUACAUCAGUAGCCAGUUAGAAAAUAUCAAGUCCACCGAUUCCGGUGAAAAAAUCAAAUUCGGGGAAGUCACAUCAGCACACAUGAACUUGACAUUCUUAUAGUGCCCAUUUAUGUUUUCAUUCUUCUUAAUUGCGCCUUCAAUAAAGUCCAAUGCUAUAAGCUGUCCAGCUUUCUGGGCUAAUUCACCAGUGAAUCGGCCAAUACCUGCACCCAG
rnacentral:misc_RNA from 1 species